UGGGUAGUCCGCACGAGCGCACCCUAUCCUUAGUUGCCAGCACAUUAUGGUGGGGACUCUAAGGAGACUGCCUGGGAUAACCAGGAGGAAGGUGGGGAUGAUGUCAAGUCAGUAUGUCCCUUAUGUCCAGGGCUACACACGUGUUACAAUGGUUGGUACAGAGGGCAGCUAAGCCGCAAGGUGGAGCCAAUCCCCCAAAACCAACCCCAGUUCGGAUUGGAGUCUGCAACUCGACUCCAUGAAGCAGGAAUCGCUAGUAAUCGUGGAUCAGAACGCCACGGUGAAUACGUUCCCGGGUCUUGUACACAUCGCCCGUCACGCCAUGGAAGUCAGUAGUACCCGAAUCGAGUGGCCCAACCUUAGGGAGGGAGCUCGUUAAGGUAAGACUGGUAACUGGGGCGAAGUCGUAACAAGGUAGCCGUACCGGAAGGUGCGGCUGGAUCACCUCCUUUU
rnacentral:rRNA from 1 species